rnacentral:rRNA from 1 species
UAGGGAAUCUUCCGCAAUGGGCGAAAGCUUGACGGAGCAACGCCGCGUGAGUGAUGAAGGUCUUCGGAUCGUAAAACUCUGUUAUUAGGGAAGAACAAAUGUGUAAGUAACUAUGCACGUCUUGACGGUACCUAAUCAGAAAGCCACGGCUAACUACGUGCCAGCAGCCGCGGUAAUACGUAGGUGGCAAGCGUUAUCCGGAAUUAUUGGGCGUAAAGCGCGCGUAGGCGGUUUUUUAAGUCUGAUGUGAAAGCCCACGGCUCAACCGUGGAGGGUCAUUGGAAACUGGAAAACUUGAGUGCAGAAGAGGAAAGUGGAAUUCCAUGUGUAGCGGUGAAAUGCGCAGAGUUAUGGAGGAACACCAGUGGCGAAGGCGACUUUCUGGUCUGUAACUGACGCUGAUGUGCGAAAGCGUGGGGAUCAAACAGG